UACGGGGGGGGCAAGCGUUGUUCGGAAUUACUGGGCGUAAAGGGCUCGUAGGCGGCCCACUAAGUCAGACGUGAAAUCCCUAGGCUCAACCUAGGAACUGCGUCUGAUACUGGAUGGCUUGAAUCCGGGAGAGGGAUGCAGAAUUCCAGGUGUAGCGGUGAAAUGCGUAGAUAUCUGGAGGAAUACCGGUGGCGAAGGCGGCAUCCUGGACCGGCAUUGACGCUGAGGAGCGAAAGCCAGGGGAGCAAACGGG
rnacentral:rRNA from 1 species